ensembl:snRNA U6 U6 spliceosomal RNA
ACGCUUGAGCAGCACAUACACUAAAAUUGGAACAACGCAGAGAAGAUGAGCACGGCCACUGCACAGGAUAUCAUACAAAUUCAUGAAGCAUCCCAUCUUUUU